AACGAACGCUGGCGGCGCGCCUAAUACAUGCAAGUCGAGCGAGAAGACGUAGCAAUACGUUUGUAAAGCGGCGAACGGGUGAGGAAUACAUGGGUAACCUACCCUCGAGUGGGGAAUAACUAGCCGAAAGGUUAGCUAAUACCGCGUACGCUCCUUGGACUUCGGUUCAGGGAGGAAAGCGAUACCGUGGGUAUCGCGCUCUUGGAUGGGCUCAUGUCCUAUCAGCUUGUUGGUGAGGUAACGGCUCACCAAGGCUUCGACGGGUAGCUGGUCUGAGAGGACGAUCAGCCACACUGGCACUGCGACACGGGCCAGACUCCUACGGGAGGCAGCAGUAAGGAAUAUUGCGCAAUGGGCGAAAGCCUGACGCAGCGACGCCGCGUGGGGGAUGAAGGUCUUCGGAUUGUAAACCCCUUUCGGGAGGGAAGAUGGAACGAGCAAUCGUUCGGACGGUACCUCCAGAAGC
rnacentral:rRNA from 1 species